AUGGGCGACGCGCUCCAGCAAGACAACCUGGUCGACCUCACGGUCGACACCUCGUACAGGCGUGGCAUCCACUAUCUCAAGGGGCGGAUGUCGUACGUCGACCCUGUGCCCUUCUUUGACGGCGCCACCCACGAGUUGACGAGCUUCGUCACGCAGUUCACCUUCGCGAUCAAGCCCAUCCAAGGGGAGAUAAGGGGGGACGGCAUGGCUUUCUUCCUCUCCAGCUUCCCGCCGACAGUGCCGGUCAACUCGACCGGCGGCAACCUUGGCCUCAUUGUCCAGGGUGACGGGAACGCCUUGGGCGUAGACCGGUUCGUCGCCAUCGUGUUCAAGACGUUCAACAACUCGGACCACAUCGGCAUCGACAUCAACUCUGCCUCGUCCUCCAAAAAUGAAACAGCCUUGCCCGACUUCAGCCUGAAUGGCUCCAUGACGGCGUGCAUCACUUUUAAUGGCACCACCGGGAUGAUGGAUGCCUCCCUGCAGUUGAAUGACAACCGUUCCCUUGGUCCCUUUAAGGUUAGUUAUCAACUACCCGAUCCCAUGUCCUUGCUCCCACCGGAGGUGGCGGUGGGGUUUUCUGCAGGCACAGGCGACUACUCCGAGCGCCAUCAGAUAAUGUCCUGGUCCUUCACCACAACUCUUCCUCAACGCAAAGGGCAAACUAGGAAGGCAACAAGGAAUGCACUGCUGAUUAUUGCUGCUUGCAGCAUCGUUUUGGUGGCUGGGAUCAUCGUUCUCCUCCGGCGUCGUUGCCUCUUCCCUGACAGGCAAAGCAUACAGCUUGGCAGCUUGGGGCCAAGGCAAUUUUCACCGAGGCAGCUCAAGCGUGCGACCAACAACUUUUCACAUCUGUUGGGUGAAGGUGCAUUUGGUCUUGUCUACAAGGGGACCUUGGAAGACAAGGAGGUGGCUGUAAAGAAACUAAGUCGCCGCAUGGUUGGAGUCGGAGCGACCGACUUUGGCAACGAAGCCAGGCUCCUCAUGGCGAUUAAGCAUAAGAAUCUGGUGAAGCUGUUGGGGUAUUGCAACAGAGGCGAGAACAGGUUGCUUUGUUUGGAGUAUCUCUCCGGUGGAAGCCUCGACAAGCUAAUCUAUGCUAAGACGCCCGGAGGAGGAGGACUUGACUGGUGCGCACGACACCAAGUAGUACAAGGAAUAUGUUCGGGCUUGCAAUAUCUUCAUCAUGAAUUGGACCCUGAACAGAGGAUCGUGCACAUGGAUCUAAAGGCGAGCAACGUGCUGAUCAGCCGUAACGAGCGCGGAGACAUCACCAAUGUAAAAAUCGCGGAUUUCGGCCUGUCAAAGCUCUUCAGAGCGGACCUUACACACUCCUACACUGAACUGGUCAUUGGUCUAAAGGCGUACAUGGCCCCGGAAUACCUUAGCAGGGGCAGGAUCUCAGCCAAGGUGGACAUAUAUUGUUUCGGCGUUCUUAUUCUGGAGAUAGUCACUGGCGACUGCGCCAACGUGAAUGAUUCCUCGGUCGAAUUCAUCGACCGGGUGCGCAGGGAGUGGGGCAACGGAGACGUGAGAAGGAUCACGGUGGAAAGCUGCUCCGACGACUGCAUUCCACAAGCUCGCAACUGCAUCGAUAUAGCGCUGGACUGCAUCCAGGAAGACCCCGACCGCAGGCCGGACGCGACAGAGAUAGGCCAGCGGCUCUCGCUUUCUCGUACCUGCGGCACAGUCCAUGCGAUGCAAGCUAUAAGCAUCGACCGAACUCAAGUAUAA
rnacentral:rRNA from 1 species